GCAUUAUUUGAUAGCUCAGUUGGUUAGAGCAUGGUGCUGAUCAUGCCAAGGCCACAGGUUCGAACCUCAUCUGGGGCA